UCCUGGCUUAGGACGAACGCUGGCGGCGUGCUUAACACAUGCAAGUUGAACGGUAUGACAUGGAAGCUUGCUGAAGUGUCAUAUAGUAGCGGACGGGUGAGUAAUGCAUGAGAAGCUGCCAUUGGGAGGGGGACAACAGUUGGAAACGGCUGCUAAUACCCCGUAUGCCGGAGGGUGAAAGGGAGUAAUCCGCCCGAUGAGGUGCUCAUGUCCUAUCAGCUGGUUGGUGGGGUAACGGCCUACCAAGGCGACGACGGGUAGCCGGCCUGAGAGGGUGAACGGCCACACUGGAACUGAGAUACGGUCCAGACUCCUACGGGAGGCAGCAGUGGGGAAUAUUUGGGGCAAUGGGGGCAACCCUGACCCAGCGACGCCGCGUGGGGGAAGACGGCCUUCGGGUUGUAAACCUCUUUUGUACGGGAAGAAGGAAGUGACGGUACUGUACGAAUAAGUCCCGGCUAACUACGUGCCAGCCGCCGC
rnacentral:rRNA from 1 species